rnacentral:rRNA from 1 species
UGUGGACGGAGUAUCGAUCCCUGCCGUGCCGACUCAUAACGCUUUGGCACUCCGCCUGGGAAGUACGGACGAAAGACUGAAACUCAAAGGAAAUUGAACGGRGACCCGCACAAACGGUGAAACAUGUGGAUCAAUUCGACGCAACGCGAAGAACCUUACCCGGRCUCGAACGAAAGAUGCGAUUCCCACGAAARUGGGAUCCCRAAAGGACGACUGACGAGGUGCUGCGUGACUGACGACRGCUCGUGACGUGAGAUGUUGGGUUGAGACCCGCGACGAGCGCRACCCUUGACCGCUGUUGCCGUCGGRUAAUGCUGGACGCUCUGUAGAGACUGCCGGUGAURAACCGAAGRAAGGUGGGGAUGACGUCGAGACARCAUGACCUUUGUGACUGGGGCUACACACGUGCUACUAUGACCGGUACUAACCGUCGCGAACCCGCGAGGGGGAGCUAAUCGGAGAAARCCGGUCUCRGUUCGRAUUGUAGACUGCUACUCGCCUGCAUGAGGUUGGAAUCGCUGGUAAUCGCGGAUCGGCACGCCGCGGUGAAUUCGUUCCCGGACCUUGUACACUACCGCC